rnacentral:rRNA from 1 species
CGCGAAAACUUUGCAAUAAGCGAAAGCUUGACAGGGCUAUCCCGAGUGCCAUCCGCUGAGGAAGGCUUUUACCCAGUCUAGAACGCUGGGGGAAUAAGGAGAGGGCAAGUCUGGUGUCAGCCGCCGCGGUAAUACCAGCUCUCCGAGUGGUGUGGAUGUUUAUUGGGCCUAAAGCAUCCGUAGCUGGCUAAGUUAGUCCCUUGUUAAAUCCACCGAAUUAAUCGUUGGAUUGCGGGGGAUACUGCUUGGCUAGGGGACGAGAGAGGCAGACGGUAUUUUCGGGGUAGGGGUGAAAUCCUAUAAUCCCGGGAAGACCACCAGUGGCGAAGGCUGUCUGCUAGAACGCGCCCGACGGUGAGGGAUGAAAGCUGGGGGAGCGAACCGGAUUAGAUACCCGGGUAGUCCCAGCUGUAAACGAUGCAGGCUAGGUGUUUGGACGGCCACGUGCCGUUCUAGUGCCGCAGGGAAGCUGUUAAGCCUGCCGCCUGGGGAGUACGAUCGCAAGAUUGAAACUUAAAGGAAUUGGCGGGGGAGCAC